AUGGGAAUAAUAUAUCUGGUCCUCCGGCAUCAUCUGGUAGUCAGGCAUCAUCUGGUCCUGCCAGGCCACCAUUAAGUGCAGAUAGGAGUGCUUUGAUGAAAGAAAUUAUUCAAGCUGAUGCCAAUAAACGUUUGCGUAAAGUAGAAGCUAGAGACCAAAAGAAACAACUGCCUUCAGCUCCAGGUGUUCUGGACGUGCAAGCUAUUAUGGACAAGGCUAUUGAGAUGAGGAGGAAAGUCAUUGAAAUAAGUGACAGUGGAGGAGAGGAGAGUGAAGACGACUGGGGAGAUUCUGACUGAUAGUUUGGUUCUGCGACAACACUGCAGGAGGUAUAGGGUCUUUUUAUAGACGGAUAUUUCUUCUCUAGACUAUUGUAUUCACUUUAUGUUCCAACAUUAUAUGUUGACAUAUAUAUCAUGUACUUUAUAUAUAUAGUUAUAUAUAUAUCAAGUCAUGGCUCAAGUCAAGCUGUAUGUAUGUGUAUUUUAAUACAUGGCUCAAGUCAAGUUGUAUGUAUGUGUUAUAGUGAAGUUAUGGCUCACAUAUAGUUGUUUAUGUAAUUUUCAAGGUUGGCAUGCAGUUGAGCUACUCGUGCUACUAAAUGAUAGAAGUAACACUUGUAACUAAUAAAGUGCUACUAAAUGAUAGAAGUAACACUUGUAACUGUAAUAAAUGUUGAAAUUUCAAUGCUAAAAACAAAAGUUGACAUACAGUUUUUUUUAUUUAAUUAGUUAUGUAAAUUUAAAAAACAACAAAUUAAUUGUAGGCAUGACUAUUAGGGAACAAGUUCUCUCUGUGUUGUUGUUAAGGUCUUCUAGUUUGAAAAAAAUAAUUAUCUCUGUGUAGGCCUUCAGCUCUAUUUGGAAAGGUCUCCUCCUUGUUAGCCUCCAGAUGUAGAUAAGUCUGGUCAACAGCUCUAUUUGGAAAGGUCUUUUCUUUUGUUUGCCUCCAGAUGUAGAUAAGUCUGGUCAACAGCUCUAUUUGGAAAGGUUUCCUCCUUGUUAGCCUCCAGCAGAUGUAG
rnacentral:sRNA from 1 species